GACGAACGCUGGCGGCGUGCUUAACACAUGCAAGUCGAACGGAAAGGCCCUGCUUUUGUGGGGUGCUCGAGUGGCGAACGGGUGAGUAACACGUGAGUAACCUGCCCUUGACUUUGGGAUAACUUCAGGGAACUGGGGCUAAUACCGGAUAGGAGCUCCUGCUGCAUGGUGGGGGUUGGAAAGUUUCGGCGGUUGGGGAUGGACUCGCGGCUUAUCAGCUUGUUGGUGGGGUAGUGGCUUACCAAGGCUUUGACGGGUAGCCGGCCUGAGAGGGUGACCGGCCACAUUGGGACUGAGAUACGGCCCAGACUCCUACGGGAGGCAGCAGUGGGGAAUAUUGCGCAAUGGGCGGAAGCCUGAUGCAGCAACGCCGCGUGCGGGAUGACGGCCUUCGGGUUGUAAACCGCUUUCGCCUGUGACGAAGCGUGAGUGACGGUAAUGGGUAAAGAAGCACCGGCUAACUACGUG
rnacentral:rRNA from 1 species